AACGAACGCUGGCGGCGUGGAUAAGACAUGCAAGUCGAACGGGACAACAUCUGUAGCAAUACAGGUGUUGUUUAGUGGCGAACGGGUGCGUAACACGUGGGCAAUCUGCCGAGAAGUGGGGGAUAGCUCGCCGAAAGGCGAAUUAAUACCGCAUAUGAUCAGUGAAGACAUCUUCACGACAUCAAAGCCGGGGCAACCUGGCGCUUCUUGAUGAGCCCGCGGCCUAUCAGCUAGUUGGUGAGGUAACGCUCACCAAGGCUAUGACGGGUAGCUGGUCUGAGAGGACGACCAGUCACACUGG
rnacentral:rRNA from 1 species